AACGAACGCUGGCGGCAUGCCUAACACAUGCAAGUCGAACGAGACCUUCGGGUCUAGUGGCGCACGGGUGCGUAACGCGUGGGAACCUGCCCUUAGGUUCGGAAUAACUCCCCGAAAGGGGUGCUAAUACCGGAUAAUGUCUUCGGACCAAAGAUUUAUCGCCUUUGGAUGGGCCCGCGUUGGAUUAGCUAGUUGGUAGGGUAAAAGCCUACCAAGGCGACGAUCCAUAGCUGGUCUGAGAGGAUGAUCAGCCACACUGGGACUGAGACACGGCCCAGACUCCUACGGGAGGCAACAGUGGGGAAUAUUGGACAAGGGGCGAAAGCCUGAUCCAGCAAUGCCGCGUGAGUGAUGAAGGCCUUAGGGUUGUAAAGCUCUUUUACCCGGGAUGAUAAUGACAGUACCGGGAGAAUAAGCUCCGGCUAACUCCGUG
rnacentral:rRNA from 1 species